AAGAAGAAAGUUACCGGGAGCGGGCCGGGGACGCUGAGGGGGCCGGGGCGCUAGCGGGUGGCAACCCGGGAGCCCGAGAAAGAGACGCAGGGACAAAGAGAAAGCGAGGAGAACGCCCGGGGAAACCCCGGAGAGGGGGCUGGGCUCCGCGCGCACCCCGCGGAGGAGAUGAAGAAACGCAGGUCUUAGGAGGUGAAGAAACUUCCUCAAGAUCUCCUGUCCCGUAACCAUCAAAUCCAGGGUAACCCACCCAGUUAUAGUCUCACAGCACGUCCUCUGGACUCCUCAGCUUCUCCUUCUUUACCUCAUUCUAUGCCACCUUCACAAAAGAGCUAGAACAGUGACUACAUCCUUUGACCAUCUUGGAGCAGCAGCCCAAGAGUUUUGGGACUGAGAAUCUAAGGACGGGCCUCAGGGCUCCUCUGGCCCAGCUCAGUCUCCUUGGAAGAAUGCCUUCCGGAGACAGGACCAUCCCAGCCAGCUCUUCCAGGAAUGGGAGUUCACCAUAACCCCAGGAAAUAAGUCCCUUCCAUGAACUAUCUGACAGAGCUGGUCUAGGGGAGUCAAGAAGCUGGAUGAAGCCACAUGGUCAGGAAUACCUAAGGAGACUGUCGUCAGGACUGAGGAUUCCAGAGGUGGAACAGCUCAAGGAUCUAUGAAAGUUACCUUAUAUGAAAAAGAGGGCCCUAUGCAGAUCUGAUUAAGGAUCUUGAGAUGGGAAGAUCAUCAUGCACUACCUGGAUGGACCCUAAAUGUCAUCACAAAUGUCCUUUGAAGGGAGAGCUGACCAGAAACAAGAGGAGACAGCCAUAUAAAAACAGGAAAAUUUUGAGGGACGCAGCCACAAGCCAAAGAAUGUCAGCAGCCACCGGAAAUGGCAGACCAAGGAGCUGAUUCUUCUCUGUAGCUUGGAGGGAGCACAGCCUCUGAUUUCAACCCAGUGAUACUGAUUUUGAACUUCUGGCCUCCAGAACUGUGACAGAAUAAAUUUCUGUUGUUUGAAGCCAUCAAGUUUGUGGGAAUUUAUUACCAUGGAAACUAAUACAACAACAAAUCCUAGAAAUGCCAGAACUAAGAGGAUCCCUUGC